AUUGAACGCUGGCGGCAUGCCUUACACAUGCAAGUCGAACGGUAACGGGCCUUCGGGCGCCGACGAGUGGCGAACGGGUGAGUAAUGCAUCGGAACGUACCUUUCAGUGGGGGAUAACGUAGCGAAAGUUACGCUAAUACCGCAUAUUCUGUGAGCAGGAAAGCAGGGGAUCGCAAGACCUUGCGCUGAUUGAGCGGCCGAUGUCAGAUUAGCUAGUUGGUGAGGUAAAGGCUCACCAAGGCGACGAUCUGUAGCGGGUCUGAGAGGAUGAUCCGCCACACUGGAACUGAGACACGGUCCAGACUCCUACGGGAGGCAGCAGUGGGGAAUUUUGGACAAUGGGCGAAAGCCUGAUCCAGCAACGCCGCGUGAGGGAUGACGGCCUUCGGGUUGUAAACCUCUUUCAGUAGGACGAAGCGAAAGUGACGGUACCUACAGAAGAAGGACCGGCCAACUACGUGCCAGCAGCCGCGGUAAAGUACUCUAU
rnacentral:rRNA from 1 species